UGCUCGCGGAGCCUUACUUCCCAGGUGCUGGCCUGCCCGAGGAGGGUCCUGCCUCUUGUGCUUAGAACUCAUCUGUCUGAAGUGAGAUAGGGUGGGGUCGGAGCCAGAGGACCCCAGUCCUGGACCCGGAUGUCAAUUAAUGAAUUAAACCAGCUAACCCAUCAGUCAUGUGGGUGCAACUUCCUCUGGAAACUGCGGCUUUCCAGAAAACCUGGAUCAACCCUGGGACCAGUUAUGUCAUUUUGGAUUUGCUUUAUGUACACAGCUACUGAUGCUCCUGAUCAGAAAACACAUCAACCGAUAUGUCCCCUGCAGUCCAGGAGCAUAUCAUUUCAGACUAACAACAUGGCUUACACAGCACAGAAGGACGUGAGCAACAUACCCAAGGAGCUGGCAGCCAUGGCGGGAUGAAGACAUGGGCUUUGGUCCAGGAGGAAGAGGAAAAGGAACUGUGUGGACAGCAAAAGCUGCCAGGUAUAGAAGCACAAGCCAACCCAUGGCUGGUAUUUUCAUUUACAUUCAUGAGGAAGACAAAAGUGAGACCGUGAAGAUGUGUACUGGAACUUCAAUCAUUCAGCAGUAACGUGAACUUCUUUGCUGUGCCAGGUAAUUGCUUUUGAAUUCUGGAACAAUAUUGCCUCCAUUUUGGUCUUAUUUACAAUUGGAAUAACUAGAGACACAAUAUACUUUUACGUUUAAUCUCCAUUACUAACAUUUUCUCCAUAGUUUUCUUAAGUCCAAACCGGGGGCUGGCAAUUUAUGGCCUGCCACGUCUGGUCUACCACCUAGUUUUGUAAGUACAAUUUUAUUGGAAACUGGUCAUGUCCAUUCAUUUAUCUGCCGUCUGUAGCUGCUUUUGUGUUACAUUGGCAAAGUUGUGUCGUUGACGAUAUGACCUACAAAGGGAAAAAUAUUUACUACUAGUGCUGUUGCUAACUAGCAAUUGGAAAGACAUGCCCUUGAGCACAUCUUUAUAUAAUAUUUCCAUCAAAGAUGUCAAUAAAUGUCAAUGACCUUAAGAACAGAAGUAAUAUUAAAAUGGAGUAAAAUAAAUGGAAACAGA